rnacentral:misc_RNA from 1 species
AUCAAGAAGCCGCCACGAAAAAACCUAAUAAUCCCCCAGAAAAUUACAAGAAAUCAGACACCGAUAAAGAAUAAAAAAAACGAAUAUAUAUAUAUUAAAAAGAUGAAAAAGGUCAAAACAACACGGAAAUUAACGUAGAAAUCUGGAAUAUCCCUCCCCAGCCACCACUCUUUGGAUACGCAAACAAGAAUCAAUAGUCCUAAAUGUUUUAAAAGAAUUAAAAUUGAAAACC